UACGGAGGGGGCGAGCGUUAUUCGGAAUUAUUGGGCGUAAAGGGCGCGUAGGCGGCUGAACAAGUCAAAGGUGAAAUCCCUCGGCUCAACUGAGGAACUGCCUUUGAAACUGUUCGGCUUGAGUUUGGGAGAGGGAUGCGGAAUUCCAGGUGUAGCGGUGAAAUGCGUAGAUAUCUGGAGGAACACCGGUGGCGAAGGCGGCAUCCUGGACCAACACUGACACUGAGGAGCGAAAGCCAGGGGAGCAAACGGG
rnacentral:rRNA from 1 species